GAUGAACGCUGGCGGCGUGCCUAAUACAUGCAAGUCGAGCGAACGGACGAGAAUUUCGCUUCUCUGAUGUUAGCGGCGGACGGGUGAGUCACACGUAGAUAACCUACCUAUAAGACUGGGAUCACUUCGGGAAACCGGAGCUAAUACCGGAUAAUAUUUUGAACUGCAUGGUUCAAAAGUGAAAGGCGGUCUUGCUGUCACUUAUAGAUGGAUCCGCGCUGCAUUAGCUAGUUGGUAAGGUAACGGCUUACCAAGGCAACGAUGCAUAGCCGACCUGAGAGGAUGAUCGGUCACACUGGAACUGAGACACGGUCCAGACUCCUACGGGAGGCAGCAGUAGGGAAUCUUGCGCAAUGGGCGAAAGCCUGACGGAGCAAUGCCGCGUGUGUGAUGAAGGUCUUCGGAUCGUAAAGCUCUGUAAUUAGGGAAGAACAUAAGUAUAUGUAACUGUGGACAUCUUGACGGUACCUAAAGAGAAAGCAACGGCUAACUACGUG
rnacentral:rRNA from 1 species